GCCACACUGGAAGAAGAACUGUCUUGGGCCACACUAAAAUACACUAACACUAAAGAUUGCUAAUGAGCUAAAAAAAAAAAAAAUCACAAAAAAUCUCAUAAUGUUUUAAGAAAGUUUACGAAUCUGUGAUGGACUACAUUCAAAGCCAUCCUGGGCCACAUGAGACCCAUGGCCAUGGGCUGGACAAGCUUGAAAGAUACAUACAAUCUGUGGGCUUUUG
rnacentral:lncRNA from 1 species